GUCAGGGUGGCUCAGUCGGUUGAGCGUCCGACUUCAGCUCAGGUCACGAUCUCACGGUUCGUGAGUUCGAGCCCCGCCUCAGGCU
rnacentral:tRNA from 1 species